rnacentral:rRNA from 1 species
UACGGAGGAUGCGAGCGUUAUCCGGAUUUAUUGGGUUUAAAGGGUGCGCAGGCGGGCUGAUCAGUCAGCGGUGAAAUAUCGGGGCUCAACCCCGGCACUGCCGUUGAAACUGUCAGUCUUGAGUAUAGAUGAAGUAGGCGGAAUUCGUUGUGUAGCGGUGAAAUGCAUAGAUAUAACGAAGAACCCCGAUUGCGUAGGCAGCUUGCUAAACUAUAACUGACGCUCAUGCACGAAAGCGUGGGUAUCAAACAGG